rnacentral:rRNA from 1 species
AUUGAACGCUGGCGGCAGGCCUAACACAUGCAAGUCGAGCGGAUGAAGGGAGCUUGCUCCUGAAUUCAGCGGCGGACGGGUGAGUAAUGCCUAGGAAUCUGCCUGGGAGUGGGGGAUAACGUCCGGAAACGGGCGCUAAUACCGCAUACGUCCUGAGGGAGAAAGUGGGGGAUCUUCGGACCUCACGCUAUCAGAUGAGCCUAGGUCGGAUUAGCUAGUUGGUGGGGUAAAGGCCUACCAAGGCGACGAUCCGUAACUGGUCUGAGAGGAUGAUCAGUCACACUGGAACUGAGACACGGUCCAGACUCCUACGGGAGGCAGCAGUGGGGAAUAUUGGACAAUGGGCGAAAGCCUGAUCCAGCCAUGCCGCGUGUGUGAAGAAGGUCUUCGGAUUGUAAAGCACUUUAAGUUGGGAGGAAGGGCAGUAAGUUAAUACCUUGCUGUUUUGACGUUACCAACAGAAUAAGCACCGGCUAACUUCGUG